ensembl:lncRNA
GCUAUUGUCCACUGGGUGGCAGUAAAGCACCGCCUUAAAUGAUGACUCGCUGACAGCGGUUGUUGACUCACAACGGGCCAAUGUAGACUAAUUAAAAACAUACAAAGGCAGUGUUUUGAUACAUAUUUUUCUUUUAACCAUCGUGCUAUUGUUACCAUAUUGGAACGACAAAUCUUUUUCAACCUUGUAGCCAGAGAAAAUAUGACAGCAAAAUAAUAGGCAUUGGAUGGAACAGCAGUUUCCUCUGCGAUUAAUCCAGAAAUCUUAUUCAGGUGCUUCCAAUUUAAAAUGGCUUUGAUUAGUGGCCUGUUUAUGUAACAGAGAAAGUUUGAGACAAGAGUCCAAGAUUCACAAGAGUUUGUCACAAACGUAUUGCAUUUAUUAUGCUGUAUACUUCACUAUAUCAAACAUAUCAGUUUUAUGUGUCAUUAACCCUUUUUACUACUUGUUUUUUCGCUCCUAAGUUACUUCAUUUAACACAUGCGCUCACAAAUCUAGCUCCUCUGUGACUCAUGAGCCUCUGAGUUCCUGAAGACCUGGUCAUCAUGGAUAAAAGAGCUGGAGAAGAUGUUGGAAAUACUGUUCCACUGAAUGCUGUAUUAUGGAAACAGACUCCACAGGGAGCAGAGACCCCAUCGAUCAGCUUUCCUGUUAAUCACAUGCUUUGUUGGUAAAAUAAACCCCCAAAUCUCACAAUGCUCCACUUGCUUUCUUCUUCUACCUGGCCUGUACAAGUCCUUCUUGUUCUCACAGAAGAAUGCUGUUGUCCCAUCAGAUUAAGCAGAAGAGAAACGGCAUAGUAGCGUGAGCCACAGUCCUGUCCCAUCCCG